rnacentral:pre_miRNA from 15 species
UAAAAAUAGUAAUCUACAUUGAACUCAGGUUUCGUUAGCAACGGGCUGUGAUGAUUAAAAGAACAAGUUCGUUGUCGACGAAACCUGCAUGCUAUGUGGAGAGGCAACCAU